rnacentral:rRNA from 1 species
GAUGAACGCUGGCGGCGUGCCUAAUACAUGCAAGUCGAGCGAACAGACGAGGAGCUUGCUCCUUUGACGUUAGCGGCGGACGGGUGAGUAACACGUAGGUAACCUACCUAUAAGACUGGGAUAACUUCGGGAAACCGGAGCUAAUACCGGAUAAUAUUUCGAACCGCAUGGUUCGAUAGUGAAAGAUGGCUUUGCUAUCACUUAUAGAUGGACCUGCGCCGUAUUAGCUAGUUGGUAAGGUAACGGCUUACCAAGGCAACGAUACGUAGCCGACCUGAGAGGGUGAUCGGCCACACUGGAACUGAGCACCGUUCCAGACUCCUACGGGAGGAAGCAGUAGGGAAUCUUCCGCAAUGGGCGAAAGCCUGACGGAGCAACGCCGCGUGAGUGAUGAAGGUCUUCGGAUCGUAAAACUCUGUUAUUAGGGAAGAACAAACGUGUAAGUAACUGUGCACGUCUUGACGGUACCUAAUCAGAAAGCCACGGCUAACUACGUG